rnacentral:rRNA from 1 species
UACCAGCUCUCCGAGUGGUAGGGAUGAUUAUUGGGCUUAAAGCGUCCGUAGCCGGCUUAGCAAGUCUCCUGUUAAACUCAGCGACCUAAUCGUUGAAUCGCGGGAGAUACUACUAGGCUAGGAGGCGGGAGAGGUCGACGGUACUUCUGGGGUAGGGGUGAAAUCCUAUAAUCCCGGGAGGACCACCAGUGGCGAAGGCUGUCGACUAGAACGCGCUCGACGGUGAGGGACGAAAGCUGGGGUAGCGAACCGGAUUAGAUACCCGGGUAGUCCCAGCUGUAAACGAUGCGGGCUAGGUGUUGGGAUGGCUACGGGCCAUUUCAGUGCCGCAGGGAAGCCAUUAAGCCCGCCGCCUGGGGAGUACGGCCGCAAGGCUGAAACUUAAAGGAAUUGGCGGGGGAGCACCACAAGGCGUGAAGCUUGCGGUUC